rfam:Pteropus alecto contig39583, whole genome shotgun sequence.
GAGGCACCGAUCCCUGCUCCGUCACCGCCCGCGCUGGCCCGCCUUGGCCACGGGCUCCGGAGGCCAGUGCCC